rnacentral:rRNA from 1 species
UACAGAGGUCCCGAGCGUUGUUCGGAUUCAUUGGGCGUAAAGGGUGCGUAGGCGGCGGGCAAGUCUGAUGUGAAAUCCUGGGCUCAACCCUGGAACUGCAUUGGAUACUGCCUUGCUAGAGUACUGGAGAGGAAACUGGAAUUUACGGUGUAGCAGUGAAAUGCGUAGAGAUCGUAAGGAAGACCAGUGGCGAAGGCGAGUUUCUGGACAGUUACUGACGCUGAGGCACGAAGGCCAGGGGAGCAAACGGG